AGCUCCAAUAGCGUAUAUUAAAAUUGUUGCGGUUAAAAAGCUCGUAGUUGGAUUUCUGCCGAGGACGACCGGUCCGCCCUCUGGGCGUGCAUCUGGAUCGGCCUGGGCAGCCUCUUGGGGAACGUAGCUGCACUUGAAUGUGAGGUGCGGUAUCCAGGACUUUUACUUUGAGGAAAUUAGAGUGUUUCAAGCAGGCAAUUGCCUUGAAUACAUUAGCAUGGAAUAAUAAGAUAGUACCUCGGUUCUAUUUUGUUGGUUUCUAGAGCUGAGGUAAUGAUUAAUAGGGAUAGUUGGGGGCAUUCGUAUUUAACUGUCAGAGGUGAAAUUCCUGGAUUUGUUAAAGACGGACUACUGCGAAAGCAUUUGCCAAGGAUGUUUUCA
rnacentral:rRNA from 1 species